GGCACUAUGAAAACGUAUGAAUUCCAAAUACAUUGUUAUAAAACUCAAGGGCUACAACGCCAACAUUCACAGUCUGUUCUUUUCUCAGCGGAAUAUCAGCCUCUUACUUAAUAAUUGACUGUGUUCUUAAUUCAGCUGACAUGGGCUGCCAGCAACAAGAAGUUGCUGAUGAUGGCAGUAAACAUCGUUUUGAGCCAGAAGUCUGUUGGUUCACAGCCUGCUAAGGGAGAAGGAGGCCAUGCUGGAGCAUAGGUUGCCCCUGGCCCCAGAGCAGGGAGCUGGGUAAGCUCCUACACACAUCCUCAGAGUGGCUACACUUUUGUGGCAAAGAACAGCCAACUCCUGACAUCCUUCAGAAUCCCCAAUAACAAGAAAACCAGAGAAGGUGGAAGAGAUCAGGUGUGACUGGAACAGGGACAGGACUGAGUAAGUAAGUGGAAAAUCUCUUCCAAGAGAAACAACAAGCCAAUAAUAGUAACGAACUCAUGGGAUUGUUACAGAGCC